rnacentral:rRNA from 1 species
GACGAACGCUGGCGGCGUGCCUAAUACAUGCAAGUCGAACGCAGUGGGGACGGGUGAGUAACACUUGGGUAACCUCCCCAUCAGCGUGGAUAACACUUGGAAACAGGUGCUAAACCGAUACUGAUGGAUGCACUCGCGGUGCAUGAGCGAGUGGGUGAGGUAACGGCUCACCAAGGCCACGAUGCAUAGACGACCUGAGAGGGUGAGCGGCAACACUGGGAGUGAGACACGGCCCAGACGCCUACGUGAGGAACAAGUAGGGAAUCUUCGGCAAUGGACGAAAGUCUGACAGAGCAACGCCGCGUGAGUGAAGAAGGUUUUCGGAUCGUAAAACUCUGUUGUUAGAGAAGCGGGAUCUAACCAGAAAGCCACGGCUAACUACGUGCCAGCAGCCGCGGUAAUUC